GACGGAGGAUGCAAGUGUUAUCCGGGAUCACUGGGCGUAAAGCGUCUGUAGGUGGUUUAAAAAGUCUACUGUUAAAGCUUGAAGCUUAACUUCAAAAAUGCCGUAGAAACUUUUAAACUUGAGUAUGGUAGGGGUAGAGGGAAUUUCCAGUGGAGCGGUGAAAUGCGUAGAUCUUGGAAAGACCACCAAUGGCGAAGGCACUCUACUGGGCCAUAACUGACACUAAGAGACGAAAGCUAGGGGAGCAAAUGGG
rnacentral:rRNA from 1 species